UAGGGAAUCUUCGGCAAUGGACGAAAGUCUGACCGAGCAACGCCGCGUGAGUGAAGAAGGUUUUCGGAUCGUAAAACUCUGUUGUUAGAGAAGAACAAGGACGUUAGUAACUGAACGUCCCCUGACGGUAUCUAACCAGAAAGCCACGGCUAACUACGUGCCAGCAGCCGCGGUAAUACGUAGGUGGCAAGCGUUGUCCGGACUUAUUGGGCGUAAAGCGAGCGCAGGCGGUUUCUUAAGUCUGAUGUGAAAGCCCCCGGCUCAACCGGGGAGGGUCAUUGGAAACUGGGGGACUUGAGUGCAGAAGAGGAGAGUGGAAUUCCAUGUGUAGCGGUGAAAUGCGUAGAUAUAUGGAGGAACACCAGUGGCGAAGGCGGCUCUCUGGUCUGUAACUGACGCUGAGGCUCGAAAGCGUGGGGAGCAAACAGG
rnacentral:rRNA from 1 species